GGUAACUGAGGGGUGCUGUGCCUGGCUGUGUCUGCUGCAACAUUGAUCAACACAGCAACAUUGACCAGUCUGAGGGGUGGAGACAACCACACUAGUAAAUAGUCUGACCCAUAACAUUUAGUGUUAUAUGGAGAUGCAGCAGUUGGAGACGUCGUUAGAGGUGGGCAGGGCCCCACUUGUAAGGCAGCUGCUGUGUGGUGAAGACCGUGUUGUGGGCAGCUGCUGUGUGGUGAAGGCCCUGUUGUGGGCAGCUGCAAGUCUUCAGAUAUCACCAGCAGCAACACCCCAAAACAAUGUCUGCAAAGAUAACGGUCGAUGGAACUGGAGGAGCUGGAGGUGCUGAUGGUGUGGUGGAUGGCAGAAGAGUGACUAGUGGCGCCACUAUUCUUGACCUCCAUGGCUAAAUGGCACCACUGACCUGG